UACGUAGGUGGCAAGCGUUGUCCGGAUUUACUGGGCGUAAAGAGCGCGCAGGCGGUCGUUCAAGUCGCGUGUGAAAGCCCCCGGCUCAACUGGGAGGGUCACGCGAUACUGAUCGACUCGAAGGCAGGAGAGGGUAGUGGAAUUCCCGGUGUAGUGGUGAAAUGCGUAGAUAUCGGGAGGAACACCAGUGGCGAAGGCGACUACCUGGCCUGUUCUUGACGCUGAGGCGCGAAAGCUAGGGAGCAACGGG
rnacentral:rRNA from 1 species